GACGAACGCUGGCGGCGUGCCUAAUACAUGCAAGUUGAGCGCUGAAGGUUGGUACUUGUACCAACUGGAUGAGCAGCGAACGGGUGAGUAACGCGUGGGGAAUCUGCCUUUGAGCGGGGGACAACAUCUGGAAACGAAUGCUAAUACCGCAUAAAAACUUUAAACACAAGUUUUAAGUUUGAAAGAUGCAAUUGCAUCACUCAAAGAUGAUCCCGCGUUGUAUUAGCUAGUUGGUGAGGUAAAGGCUCACCAAGGCGAUGAUACAUAGCCGACCUGAGAGGGUGAUCGGCCACAUUGGGACUGGGACAAGGCCCAAACUCCUACGGGAGGCAGCAGUAGGGAAUCUUCGGCAAUGGACGAAAGUCUGACCGAGCAACGCCGCGUGAGUGAAGAAGGUUUUCGGAUCGUAAAACUCUGUUGGUAGAGAAGAACGUUGGUGAGAGUGGAAAGCUCAUCAAGUGACGGUAACUACCCAGAAAGGGACGGCUAACUACGUG
rnacentral:rRNA from 1 species